rnacentral:lncRNA from 1 species
GAGAAUAUAUAUAGAGAGAGCAGGACAAAUAUGCUAUUAGGAGCACGGAAAUCUUCCGUGCUUCUAAAUUAUUUUCAAUAAUGAAACUUUCAAAUUGACGAUAGAUUCCGUUAGACUUGAUCUAACAUAUUUAAAGUAUCUAGAAAUUUAAUAUUGCAUUUUUUAUAUAAUUUAUCUAUUGAUCAAAAUGGUUCAAAAUUAAUAAUCUUUAACCCUUUGAUGUGUGCCUUUUAUAUAUUUAACAGUGUCGAAGUAUUUAAAUCAAAAAAAAUUUGGAUAGAAAAUUUUUUAUACUAUCUACAACAAGAUCAAUAUCUUUGAUCGAAAAUUUUAGUGCUACAUCAUAACUUUUUGAGAGAAUUUUAUUUUUAGCCAUCCAUUUUUAGUCAUUUCGAUCACUAAGUAAAUGAUAUCGAAAAUUCAUAAAAUUUAUUUUCUAGAUAUUUUAAAUAUACUAGAUCAAAUUUAACAGAGUUGGUUGUCGAUUCGGAAGUUUAAUUAUCGAAAACUGGGUUAGAAAUACGGAGGCCUCCGUGCUCCUAAUAACACACAGGUCAUACUCUAUAUAUAUCUCCAUCGUUAGAUUAUUUCUUUCACCGUUU